rnacentral:rRNA from 1 species
AGUAGUUUGAUCAUGGCUCAGAACGAACGCUGGCGGUGCGUUUUAAGCAUGCAAGUCGAGCGGCAAGCACCAGCAAUGGUGCCUAGAGCGGCGGACGGGUGAGUAACACGUGGAUAAUCUAUCUUAGAGUUUGGGAUAUACCAUGGAAACAUGGAGUAAUACCGAAUAAUAUAUAGCCUGGAGUCAGGUUAUAUCAAAGGCGCUUUCGCGUCGCUUUGAGCUGAGUCCGCGGCCCAUUAGCUAGACGGCGGGGUAAAGGCCCACCGUGGCGAUGAUGGGUAGCCGGCCUGAGAGGGUGUACGGCCACAUUGGGACUGAGACACGGCCCAGACUCC